GAUGAACGCUGGCGGCGUGCCUAAUACAUGCAAGUCGAGCGAAUGGAUUAAGAGCUUACUCUUAUGAAGUUAGCGGCGGACGGGUGAGUAACACGUGGGUAACCUGCCCAUAAGACUGGGAUAACUCCGGGAAACCGGGGCUAAUACCGGAUAACAUUUUGAACCGCAUGGCUCGAAAUUGAAAGGCGGCUUCGGCUGUCACUUAUGGAUGGACCCGCGUCGCAUUAGCUAGUUGGUGAGGUAACGGCUCACCAAGGCAACGAUGCGUAGCCGACCUGAGAGGGUGAUCGGCCACACUGGGACUGAGACACGGCCCAGACUCCUACGGGAGGCAGCAGUAGGGAAUCUUCCGCAAUGGACGAAAGUCUGCCGGAGCAACGCCGCGUGAGUGAUGAAGGCUUUCGGGUCGUAAAACUCUGUUGUUAGGGAAGAACAAGUGCUAGUUGAAUAAGCUGGCACCUUGACGGUACCUAACCAGAAAGCCACGGCUAACUACGUGCCAGCCGCCGCUGUAA
rnacentral:rRNA from 1 species